rnacentral:rRNA from 1 species
AUUGAACGCUGGCGGCAUGCCUAACACAUGCAAGUCGAACGGCAGCAUGGGAUGUAGCAAUACAUUCUGAUGGCGAGUGGCGGACGGGUGAGGAACGCGUGGGAAGCUGCCUUGCAGAGGGGGGCAACCGGAGGAAACUCCGGCUAAUACCGCAUGAACGCGGAGGAGGAAAGGGCUGGCAGCAAUGCCAGUGGCUGCGAGAGGAGCCAGCGUCCGAUUAGCUAGUUGGUGGGGUAAAGGCCUACCAAGGCGAUGAUCGGUAGCUGGUCCGAGAGGAUGACCAGCCACACUGGGACUGAGACACGGCCCAGACUCCUACGGGAGGCAGCAGUGGGGAAUAUUGGACAAUGGGGGCAACCCUGAUCCAGCAAUGCCGCGUGUGUGAAGAAGGCCUUCGGGUUGUAAAGCACUUUAGGUUGGGAAGAAGGGAUGAUGUUUAAGAGAUGUCAUUCUUGACGGUACCGACAGAAUAAGCACCGGCUAACUCUGUGCCAGCAGCCGCGGUAA